GCUUGUGUGCGACCAGGGAAAAUAUUAGCCUCACAGUGUGCCAUGCAAGCAGCCAGGUGAACCCUCAUGGCACACAUACGAGAGGUCUUCCCCAUAGUGCUCCUCGUAAACUAUCCAUGUACUUCCUUGACCAACACCACGGACACAAGCAGGAUAGUCUCAGAAAACCUACUUGGCAUGGGAGACGCCACACGGGCUGCCGAGACUAGGGAAUCCAAGGCACCUUCCAGUACGAACUCUCUGACUCUUUUUCAACCUACUGGAGGAUUGGAUUCUGUUCGUACAGGGAAAGGUUGAUGAGGUAGACAUGGAUUAUAGUUUUCACUCAGUUCACUCGCGGGUCAAGAGUGGGUUGCUCGACAUCGAUGGGUCCGCCUCAAUGUUCCUUCUCGGUAUGGACGCUCGCUCAGGUACUUUCCGUUGCUGCCCGAAAUCGCAGGGUCAUCAACGCCAAUUGUAGAACACUUGCGCGGUUGCAUACGAGCAUUGAUGAACUGCUCGAGGAGACAAAUAAGAUGGUAGAGGUUAUCAACAUAGUUCUCAGACACAUCGACCAGGGGAAUCAGUUUCUCCUCCUAGAUCAGGCCUUGCGUGUACUGGAAACCGUCAUUAACCCCUGUCGCAAGGGCUAAUCAGCAGGUCAUUAGCGACAUGGUAGAGUCAGACCUCCCUUGUUCCCUCUACGCGAUUUCAGAACGACUAUCCAGAUCGGGUAUCAAAAUUACAGCCCCACGCCCUCAUUCCCCUCGGACAUGGGUCAAUAUUUUCACCCCAUGGUUGAGUCCAGCGUCACCCCCUGAUGCCAUGAUCAUUGACGCUCCAUUUCAGACGGCGGACGCAUUUGAGGCUCACGAAAUUGUUUGUUAUGGAAAGAUCAUUGAUGUAUAGCAGGAAGCUCUGUCGAACGCCACUGGAAGCAAGUGAUUCUAAACCUCGGUUCUUUUAUAGUUUAUGAAUAAUGUUAAUAUCUAUUGUAACUAACAUGAAAUCAAUAAUAUUAACAUUUAUAAGUAAUAAUAACAAUAAUAAUCAAUGCAACAGAAAAGUAUUGGUGAUUUUCGGAAAGCUUAUUAGGCUAUUUCAGCAAGUCUUAAAGGAAAUUACAUAUACCUCUUUUAAAAGCUUAUGUUAACUAUUAAAUCAUGAAGAUUAUUAAUAUAUUGAGUUUAAUAAUAAUAAUAAUAACAAUCACUUGAUAAUAUCGCAGCACUAAUAAUGACUUACAGCCAAAAGUUGAUGACAAAUUCUCAAAUCAUCGCAAACAAUAUUUUUUCUGAUUGUCUCUUGUUCAUUAUGAUUAUUUCUGUACAGUGCCAUGAUUUCUUUGUAUCAAUAUAACAGGUGUUUGCACAGGUGUUUGGUCAGGUGUUUGGAUUUUAUUUGUUAUUGUUUGUGCCAUUAAGCUGACCAUAGAAGAGACUGGAGAAUAUUUUAUGGUAGGCCUCCAGCGUUUCAAAAUAGAUUCCAGCGUUCUGUUCUGUCUCCUUAAAACACUGAGCAUCAAUAUGACAGGUGUUUGCACAGGUGUUUGGUCAGGUGUUUGGAUUUUAUUUGUUAUUAUUUGUGCCAUUAAGCUGCCCAUAGAAGAGACUGGAGAAUAUUAUAUACUAGGCCUCCAGCGUUUCAAAAUAGAUUCCAGCGUUCUGUCACAGGUGUUUGGUCAGGUGUUUGGAUUUUAUUUGUUAUUGUUUGUGCCAUUAAGCUGCCCAUAGAAGAGACUGGAGAAUAUUAUAUACUAGGCCUCCAGUGUUUCAAAAUAGAUUCCAGCGUUCUGUUCUGUCUCCUUAAAACACUGAGCAUCAAUAUGACAGGUGUUUGCACAGGUGUUUGGUCAGGUGUUUGGAUUUUAUUUGUUAUUGUUUGUGCCAUUAAGCUGACCAUAGAAGAGACUGGAGAAUAUUAUAUACUAGGCCUCCAGCGUUUCAAAAUAGAUUCCAGUGUUCUGUCUCCUUAAAACACUGAGCAUCAAUAUGACAGGUGUUUGCACAGGUGUUUGGUCAGGUGUUUGGAUUUUAUUUGUUUUUGUUUGUGCCAUUAAGCUGCCCAUAGAAGAGACUGAAGAAUAUUAUAUACUAGGCCUCCAGCGUUUCAAAAUAGAUUCCAGCGUUCUGUUCUGUCUCCUUAAAACACUGAGCAUGAAAUUUAGGUAGAAUAUGGAGGGUCACACUUUUUAUGACAAACUUAUUCAUAUCAAAAUCCCAUUAUGAAAUCUUGUAUAAUCACUGGACAGAGGGAAAAUAGAUAAGAACAUAAGAACAUAAGAACGUAGGAGUCUACAAGAGGCUGGUAGGCCCGUACAAGGCAGCUCCUUUGACCCUAAGCUCACCUAACAUCGCUGUCCUUGAAUUUAUCUAGUCUAUUUUUGAGUGACAAUUCAAUCGGCCCUCACCACAUGACUGCUAGGCCUAUUCCACUCAUCCACCACCCUGUUCGUAAACCAAUUUUUGCCUAGUCCGUGUUGAAUCUGAAUUUGUGCAGUUUAAACCCAUUACUUCGUGUCCUGCCCGGUUCUAUUAGCGACAAAACCUUAUGAAUGUCUCCCUUAUUAAAGCCCUUCAUCCAUUUAUAAGCCUCGGUCAUGUCUCCACGCACCCUUCGCCUGUAUAGAGAAUGCAAGUUUGUUUGAGUCUUUCCUCGUAUGGCAAGUUUCUCAACCCCUGAAUCAUCUUAGUCAACGAAGGCAAUGCUUACCUGUUAGUGUCAAGAGCUCCGAGAGGUGUUUGGGCAGCUGUUGACAGGCGGGGUUUGCCUCUACAGUUUGGAGAGGGGCACUGAGAAGCGUUUAAAUAGCCUUCCUUUUUUCCCCCCUAGCCCAAACAUUUUUACGCAUUCAUCCUACAACAUGCAGCCUAAAAUAGCCUAUCUGAUGAGUAUAAGAGACAUCGCUGCCUCAGUAUAGCGCGGAGCCACGGAAUUAUACACUAAAAUAUAUCCCUUCAAGUACCGAUUGAUGUAUGUUCACAAGGGCAGUCAUGGGGCAAGGUAUUCAUGGGGGGUUAAGAUUCCAAGAUAACAUUGUAUCAAGAUAACACUACUUCUACCUUUGUUUACUUUUUUGCAUUUUUCUCUCUUAUCCUUCUAUCUUUCUACUUCCCCUUUUAUGUGAAGAUAGUUAAGUAAAUUCUCUAUCUCUCCAUGUCUCCGGUUUUUCUCUCCGUCGCUCCGUUUCUCCAUAAACAGGCAAGGACUUUGGAGGUAAAAGUUCAGAUUACCCCUUUUUUUCACAUUUUGGCUUCUACCUUUGUUUACUUUUUUGUAUUUUUCUCACUUAUCCUUCUACCUUUCUACUUCCCCUUUUAUGUGAAGAUAGAGUAGUAAAUUCUCUAUCUCUCCAUGUCUCCGGUUUUUCUCUCCAUCUCUCCGUUUCUCCACAAACAGGCAAGGACUUUGGAGGUAAAAGUUCGGAUUACCCCUUUUUUCACAUUUUGGCUUCUACCUUUGUUUACUUUUUUGUAUUUUUCUCACUUAUCCUUUUAUCUUUCUACUUCCCCUUUUAUGUGAAGAUAGUCAAGUAAAUUCUCUAUCUCUCCAUGUCUCCGGUUUUUCUCUCCAUCUCUCCGUCUCUCCACAAACAGGCAAGGACUUUGGAGGUAAAAGUUCGGAUUUCCCCUUUUUUUCACAUUUUGGCUUCUACCUUUGUUUACUUUUUCCUCAUUAUCUCCUUUAUCGUUCUACCUAUCCUCUUCCCCUUUUAUGUGAGGAUAGUUAAGUAAAUUCUCUAUCUCUCCAUGUCUCCGGUUUUUCUCUCCGUCUCUCCGUUUCUCCAUAAACAGGCAAGGACUUUGGAGGUAAAAGUUCGCAUUACCCCUUUUUUUCACAUUUUGGCUUCUACCUUUGUUUACUUUUUUGCAUUUUUCUCUCUUAUCCUUCUACCUUUCUACUUCCCCUUUUAUGUGAAGAUAGUCAAGUAAAUUCUCUAUCUCUCCAUGUCUCCGGUUUUUCUCUCCGUCUCUCCGUUUCUCCAUAAACAGGCAAGGACUUUGGAGGUAUAAGUUCGGAUUCCCAAUAUUUUUCACGAUUUUGCCUCCACCUUCCUGUACUUUUUUCCCAUUAUCUCCUUUAUCCUUUUACCUAUCCUCUUCCCCUUUUAUGUGAGGAUAGUUAAGUAAAUUCUCUAUCUCUCCAUGUCUCCGGUUUUUCUCUCCGUCUCUCCGUUUCUCCAUAAACAGGCAUGGACUUUGGAGGUAAAAGUUCGGAUUACCCCUUUUUUUCUCAUUUUGGCUUCUACCUUUGUUUACUUUUUCCUCAUUAUCUCCUUUAUCGUUCUACCUAUCCUCUUCCCCUUUUAUGUGAAGAUAGUCAAGUAAAUUAUCUAUCUCUCCAUUUCUCCGGUUUUUCUCUCCGUCUCUCCGUUUCUCCAUAAACAGGCAUGGACUUUGGAGGUAAAAGUUCGGA